rnacentral:rRNA from 1 species
UACGAGGGGGGCAAGCGUUGUUCGGAAUUAUUGGGCGUAAAGGGUGCGUAGGCGGCGCGGUAAGUCGGGUGUGAAAUCUCGGAGCUUAACUUCGAAACUGCAUUCGAUACUGCCGUGCUUGAGGACUGGAGAGGAGACUGGAAUUUACGGUGUAGCGGUGAAAUGCGUAGAUAUCGUAAGGAAGACCAGUGGCGAAGGCGGGUCUCUGGACAGUUCCUGACGCUGAGGCACGAAGGCCAGGGGAGCAAACGG